GAGACCGGCGCACGGGUGCGUAACGCGUAUGCAAUCUACCUUUCACAGAGGGAUAGCCCAGAGAAAUUUGGAUUAAUACCUCAUAGUAUUAUAGAGUGGCAUCACUUUAUAAUUAAAGUCACAACGGUGAAAGAUGAGCAUGCGUCCCAUUAGCUAGUUGGUAAGGUAACGGCUUACCAAGGCAACGAUGGGUAGGGGUCCUGAGAGGGAGAUCCCCCACACUGGUACUGAGACACGGACCAGACUCCUACGGGAGGCAGCAGUGAGGAAUAUUGGACAAUGGGCGCAAGCCUGAUCCAGCCAUGCCGCGUGCAGGAUGACGGUCCUAUGGAUUGUAAACUGCUUUUGCACAGGAAGAAACAACGCUACGUGUAGCGUCUUGACGGUACUGUGAGAAUAAGGAUCGGCUAACUCCGUGCCAGCAGCCGCGGUAAUACGGAGGAUCCAAGCGUUAUCCGGAAUCAUUGGGUUUAAAGGGUCCGUAGGCGGUUUAGUAAGUCAGUGGUGAAAGCCCAUCGCUCAACGGUGGAACGGCCAUUGAUACUGCUAAACUUGAAUUAUUAGGAAGUAACUAGAAUAUGUAGUGUAGCGGUGAAAUGCUUAGAGAUUACAUGGAAUACCAAUUGCGAAGGCAGGUUACUACUAAUGGAUUGACGCUGAUGGACGAAAGCGUGGGUAGCGAACAGGAUUAGAUACCCUGGUAGUCCACGCCGUAAACGAUGGAUACUAGCUGUUGGGAGCAAUCUCAGUGGCUAAGCGAAAGUGAUAAGUAUCCCACCUGGGGAGUACGUUCGCAAGAAUGAAACUCAAAGGAAUUGACGGGGGCCCGCACAAGCGGUGGAGCAUGUGGUUUAAUUCGAUGAUACGCGAGGAACCUUACCAAGGCUUAAAUGUAGAUUGACCGGUUUGGAAACAGACUUUUCGCAAGACAAUUUACAAGGUGCUGCAUGGUUGUCGUCAGCUCGUGCCGUGAGGUGUCAGGUUAAGUCCUAUAACGAGCGCAACCCCUGUUGUUAGUUGCCAGCGAGUCAUGUCGGGAACUCUAACGAGACUGCCAGUGCAAACUGAGAGGAAGGUGGGGAUGACGUCAAAUCAUCACGGCCCUUACGCCUUGGGCUACACACGUGCUACAAUGGCCGGUACAGAGAGCAGCCACUGGGUGACCAGGAGCGAAUCUACAAAACCGGUCACAGUUCGGAUCGGAGUCUGCAACUCGA
rnacentral:rRNA from 1 species